UUUUUGGAAUAUUGUAAGAUGGCAGGGUACAUCUUUUUUCUCGGGGGUAUUUUUCUAACCAUGUGUUCCUUAUGAUAGGUAGUAAUGGAAUUUUUUCCUUACAGCCUUAAGAGUAUUAUUUAGGACCCGCAAAAAGAAAGAACAUUCCUUGGGGACCUUUUGAUUCGAAGGAUUUUCAUAGGAUUUUGGUAGGAUUAUUAUCCUUAGGAAUUUUCCUACAUUGGUCAUUUCAUCCAAUAGAAACUUCCUCUAAAGUAUCAUUGUAGUACAUUUCAUAGAAAAUCUAACAUCCACUUCAACUUCUUAAAAAAGCAUUUGAUGCAAUCAAACAACUGCAAAUUAUGUAGGACUCAAAUGCGUUUUUCCAAUCCAGCAACCCCGACACCGUAUCCUGGAGGUUCACCCCUUCAGGAGUCUUUUCUCUUGGCUCAGCAUACCAUGCUUUGUGCCGAAGGCCGUCUAUGGCCUAGACAUCAUCGUUCUGGAAAGCGCCUUUACCAUUGAAAAUCAAAAAAAUUGUUUGCCAGUUGUUGAGGGAUCGCCUUCCAUUCGGAAUGUAGGUGAUCAAGAGACACACCCCGGGGAAUGGGUUGUGCCCUCUAUGUGAUGUCCCAGAGAUAGGGACUCACAUCCUCUUCUCUUGCACGAUGGCUAGACUACUUUGGAGUUUUGUCCGUGAGGUUCUUGGGCCGGACUAGAAGGCCCUGGACCUGGUCGGGUUCCUGCAAACCCGUGUCAACCAAAUCGUGAAGAUAACACGCCUUCUAGCUGGUGUUUGCAGCACUAGCUUGGACGUUGUUAACGACACGUAAUAAGAUAGUGAUCAAGCGGUUCUUUCUUAGGCUGGCCUCUGACUCGAUCUUCGAAUUUGCAUUUUUCUAGCACUAGCAUCCACUGUCUAGGCAGCAUGAUCGCGAUCAACUGGGCCUUAUGAUGGAUGUGAUGAUUGUUGCUGCUCGUUGACAGGCCUCGCCGCAGACUUCCUAAGGCGCUAGAUAUUUUAUACUUUUUUGGGGCGUGUUUGUGUUGUUGCCCCAGUUGGAUAUUUUAUUUGAUUGCACUUAAACUUGUGAUUUAGAUGUGGUGACGGUGCUGAUGGCUUUAUUUAUAAAGCGGGACGAAAGCCUAUUUCGAGAAUUUUCCACGGUAAAUCAAAUGGGAAAUUCUAGUGGUGGUUGAGGUAGCAUACAUCCAAAUUACUACAGUACCUUUGAAGGCCAAUCUCGUGGUGCUGUCUAACGCACGUCUUGCUUUCAAAGUUUUCGGAAGAAUGCCACUACAACACGUAUGUCAUUAGGAGGCAUUUUUUUGCCAGCAUUUUUGCUAAACGCCUCAGAAUCAUGGUAUUGACGGCACUUUCCAAAAGUGCCUCCGAAGCUCGCAGCCUUCAAGGGCAGUUUUAGAAAAUGCCUUCCAAACAGGGGAAAACAAGGCGUUCUACAAAAGUGCCGCGGAGCGUAGCCAGCGUUUUGGUGUGAAACAGCCCUCCCCGCUGCGUUCCAAGGUAAAAAAAACAGAGGUCUUCCAAAAACAAAAAACAGAGGAACACCACGGCCACCGCAGCUUCUCCGCGCUGGGCGCCUCGUCGUCUUCGCCGCCGGCGCCUGCUCCGCCACCGGCGCUCCAUGCCGGAGCCUCUGCAUCCGCCGCGACCUGCAACGCCAUCCCCACUCCGUGCCUUCCCUCAUCUCUCGUCCCCAAUCUCGGGGUGGGAUUCGUAGUGCGCGGUGAAGAAGAAGGGGAGAUCCAGGCUCGGAGAGGAGGAGGAAGAUCAAGUGGUCCAGGCCACGAACUCAUCAGCGGUGACCUCCCCCCCCCCCCCCCCCCCCCCCCCCCCCCCCCCGCCCCCCAACCCACGCCAGAGAAGCCCAUGUCAGGUUGCUGUUGAUCUGACGCUCUGCUGCGCACAAGGUGUUCGAGAACUUGGGUUUGUUCAGUUGAGAAUGGAUAAGAGUUGGAUGCGAGCAGCAAGGUCUUCCAUUGAGUAUUCUGAAGGAACUAUCAACUUCAUACAAUUUGCUUUUCGUGAGUCAGCAAAAAAUAGUAGGAUUCUCUGCCCUUGCAAGAUAUGUGUAAACUCUCGUUGGUUAGGUGAGCAUGAAGUCUAUGAUCAUUUGAUUUGUGAUGGAUUCAUGUCCGGAUAUACCACAUGGAUUCACCAUGGAGAAAGUAUGCGGCCCUCCGAAGCAACUACUGGUCCUAGUUCACAGUUUGAAGAAUAUGCUGAUAGUGAUGAGAUGGAUGAGAUGCUACUAGAAGGAUUUGGGAUGUAUGAUACUCGUACUUUAGGAGAGGAGCAAGAGUCUGAAGAUGAUUUGGACGAUGAUGCUGAGGCAUACUAUAGAUUAGUUAAUGAUGGACGCCAAGAGUUGUACCCAGGUUGCAAAAGAUUCUUGAAGCUGCAAUUUUUGGUGAGGUUGCUUCAUAUCAAGAAUAUGAGGGGAAUGAGCAAUGUUUGCUUUGAUGAGGUAUUGACGCUAAUUAAGGAGGCACUUCCAGAAGGUCAGGCGUUGCCCAAAAAUUUUCAUGGGGCCAAAAAGUUUGUGAGAGCCAUUGGUAUUGGAUAUGAUAGUAUAGAUGCAUGCAAAAACGAUUGCAUUCUAUUUAGGAAGGAACAUGCUGAUGCCAUAUCAUGUCCAGUGUGUGGCACAAGUAGAUGGAAGAGCGUAAAUACUGGAGUUGAUGGAAGGCGUGUCCACAAGGUGCCUCAAAAGGUGGUUCGUCAUUUCCCGCUAAAGAAGAGACUCCAAAGGUUGUUCGCUUCUACAAAGACGGCAUCAGAUAUGAGGUGGCACAGCGAAGGCCGCACAAAGGACGGCUUGAUACGACACCCAGCUGGUUCACCUGCAUGGAAACACUUUGAUGCUAUUCACAAAGACUUCAGUUCAGAAGUUUGUAAUGUUAGAUUUGGAUUGGGAGCUGAUGGUUUCAACCCUUUUGGAAAUAUGAAUCUCUCAUAUAGCAUAUGGCCUAUCGUCUUGAUCCCCUACAACCUUCCUCCAUGGAUUUGUAUGAAGCAAUCAAACUCUAUCCUCUCUGUCAUCAUUCCUGGUAAAAAAUCUCCAGGGAAAGACAUGGAUGUUUACAUGCAGCUAACCAUAGAUGAUCUUCUGGAGCUUUGGAAUGAUGGAGUUUGGACUUAUGAUGCCUCUCGAUCUAAGAAGUUUCUCUUACGUGCCGCACUACUAUGGACAAUAAGUGAUUGGCCUGGGCGUGGAUCUUUGUCUGGAGAAAAUAUAGCAGUUUGCUCCCAUUGUCUAUCAGAGACAUGCUCUCUUUGGUUAAAGAAUGGACACAAGAAAUGCUAUAUGGGACAUCGCAGAUUCUUGGAACCUAAUCACGAGUUUCGAUUUGAUGCUGAGUCAUUUGAUGGUUUUGAGGAACAUCGAGAGCCUCCCGUUCCCCUUUCAUUACAUGACAUUUCAAUAUUGACAAAGGACAUGAAAACUACAUAUGGGAAACUGCAGCAGAAGAGCAGCAGGAAGCGACACCGUAAUCAGGAAAUAUGAUGACUUCGGGAUCAAGAUCUGAUGCAUUCAAUCAGUCCCAUGUGUCUGACCAUGAACGAAGACUGAAUGAGCUGAAAUAUAAAGUCAGAGAAGUUAAUCUACCACAAAUGGAAUGCAUCAAUGUUAUGAAACAAAUGAAAACAGAAGCUUCAAACAGGGAUAAAUUAAAACACUUCACUAUGAAUUCCGGAGCUGAAGGAGAUGUUGACUUAAGGAGCCAUGAGGGAAGUGGUGAGGAAACUGAAUCAGAAGAUGGAGAAGAUGGCGCUGAACAUGGUGAUGAAACUGAAUCGGAAGAUGAAGAAGGUGAGUCUGGACAAGAAGAUGAACAUGAAGAAGAAGAGGAAGUUCGACAAGAACAGGAGCAAACACAUGAAGUUGUAGAGAAGACUAGAAGAGGACCUACUCACAUGAGGCGCUUCUGGAAAGAACAUGAUGUUGAUAACAAGAUCAAUUUGAAGUUCAACAGAUUUGGUCAGCCAUGUGGUUUGAAGACUUGCAAGCUGACAAAUUUUAUUGGAACCCUAGUGAAAGGAAAAGAAAUGUCCUUAGCUGCUCAAAACUGGAGCAAAGUACCAAAGUUAGAGAAAGAAAAGUUGUGGGGUUCUAUCCAGGCUUUUUUCAACAUUGAUGAGUCAUACAAAAGAUGGGUGUUGAGAUCAGCUAGUAAAAAAUGGAAAGACUUCAAGGUUGUUUUAAAGAGGAAAUACUACAAAGCUGAUUUGUCACGGGCACGGAAUAUUCUUAAUGGUUGUGAUAACAGAAUUCCAAUUGGACAGUGGGAGUGGCUAGUAAAACACUGGAGAACAGAGAAAGCUAAG